rnacentral:rRNA from 1 species
AAUCAACGCUGGCGGCGUGCCUCAGACAUGCAAGUCGAACGAUUAAAGCUCUCUUCGGAGAGUGUAUAGAGUGGCGCACGGGUGAGUAACACGUAAGUAAUCUACCCUCGAGUGGGGAAUAACAACCGGAAACGGUUGCUAAUACCGCAUAAUGCAGCGGCACCGCAAGGUGACAGUUGUUAAAAGAUUUAUCGCUUGAGGAGGAGCUUGCGGCAGAUUAGCUAGUUGGUAGGGUAACGGCUUACCAAGGCUACGAUCUGUAACCGGUCUAAGAGGACGGUCGGUCACACUGACACUGAAUAACGGGUCAGACUCCUACGGGAGGCAGCAGUCGGGAAUUUUGGGCAAUGGGCGAAAGCCUGACCCAGCAACGCCGCGUGAAGGAUGAAGUAUUUCGGUAUGUAAACUUCGAAAGAAUAGGAAGAAUUAAUGACGGUACUAUUUAUAAGGUCCGGCUAACUACGUGCCAGCAGCCGCGGUAAU